rnacentral:misc_RNA from 1 species
AAGUCGUAACAAGGUUUCCGUAGGUGAACCUGCGGAAGGAUCAUUAUUGAAUAAAUCUGACGUGGUUGUCGCUGGCUCCCCCGGGAGUAUGUGCACGCCCGUCACCUUUAUUUCUCCACCUGUGCACACACUGUAGGCCUGGAUACCUCUCGUCGCAAGGCGGAUGCGUGGCUUGCUGUCGCUUUCGAAAGAAGGCCGGCUUGCCAUGAAUUUCCAGGUCUAUGAUUUCUUACACACCCCAAACUGAAUGUUAUGGAAUGUCAUCUCAAGGCCUUGUGCCUAUAAACCUAUACAACUUUCAGCAACGGAUCUCUUGGCUCUC